CCUGACUGCUAUCGGAUUGAUACUAAGCCAUGCGAGUCAUUGUAGCAAUACAAGGCAGACGGCUCAGUAACGCGUAGUCAAUCUACCCUAUGGACGGGAAUAACCUCGGGAAACUGAGAAUGAUGCCCGAUAGAACAUUAUGCCUGGAAUGGUUUAUGUUUCAAAUGAUUUAUCGCCAUAGGAUGGGACUGCGGCCUAUCAGUUUGUUGGUGAGGUAAUGGCCCACCAAGACUAUUACAGGUACGGGCUCUGAGAGGAGUAGCCCGGAGAUGGGUACUGAGACACGGACCCAGGCCCUAUGGGGCGCAGCAGGCGAGAAAACUUUGCAAUGUGCGAAAGCACGACAAGGUUAAUCCGAGUGGUUUCUGCUAAAGAAACCUUUUGUCAGUCCUAGAGACACUAACGAAUAAGGGGUGGGCAAGUUCUGGUGUCAGCCGCCGCGGUAAAACCAGCACCUCAAGUGGUCAGGAUGAUUAUUGGGCCUAAAGCAUCCGUAGCUCGUUUUGUAAGUUUUCGGUUAAAUCCAUGCGCUUAACGUAUGGGCUGCCGGGAAUACUGCAUAACUAGGAGGUGGGAGAGGUAGACGGUACUCGGGAGGAAGGGGUAAAAUCCUUUGAUCUCUUGAUGACCACCUGUGGCGAAGGCGGUCUACCAGAACACGUUCGACGGUGAGGGAUGAAAGCUGGGGGAGCAAACCGGAUUAGAUACCCGGGUAGUCCCAGCUGUAAACUAUGCAAACUCAGUGAUGCAUUGGCUUAUGGCCAAUGCAGUGCUGCAGGGAAGCCGUUAAGUUUGCCGCCNUGGGAAGUACGUACGCCAAGUAUGAAACUUAAANGAAAUUNGGCGGGGGAGCACCACAAGGGGUGAAGCCUGCGGUUCAAUUGGAUUCAACGCCGGAAA
rnacentral:rRNA from 1 species